rnacentral:tRNA from 1 species
UCCCGUGUGGCUCAGUUGGUAGGGCAUGGUGUUUCAAACGCCAGGGUUGUGAGUUCAAUUCCCACGGGGG